GACGAACGCUGGCGGCGUGCUUAACACAUGCAAGUCGAACGGAAAGGCUCCAGCUUGCUGGAGUACUCGAGUGGCGAACGGGUGAGUAACACGUGGGUAAUCUGCCCUGCACUCUGGGAUAAGCCUUGGAAACUGGGUCUAAUACUGGAUAUGACCUUUCUCCUUAUGGGGUUUGGUGGAAAGUUUUUCGGUGUAGGAUGAGCCCGCGGCCUAUCAGCUUGUUGGUGGGGUGAUGGCCUACCAAGGCGACGACGGGUAGCCGGCCUGAGAGGGUGAUCGGCCACAUUGGGACUGAGAUACGGCCCAGACUCCUACGGGAGGCAGCAGUGGGGAAUAUUGCACAAUGGGCGGAAGCCUGAUGCAGCGACGCCGCGUGAGGGAUGACGGCCUUCGGGUUGUAAACCUCUUUCAGCAGGGACGAAGCGUAAGUGACGGUAUCUGCAGAAGAAGCACCGGCUAACUACGUG
rnacentral:rRNA from 1 species